rnacentral:tRNA from 1 species
UCCCUGGUAGCUCAGACGGUAAAGCAUCUGCCUCCAAUGCAGGAGACCCAGGUUUGAUCCCUGGGUCGGGAA